ACACGGCAGGGGGGCAUGGAACCGGGGGUUCCACCAGCGCGGCGUUCCAACACGGUCGCCGAUCCGGCGCACUGGGCCAAUGGCGAGACCGACCCUUCCGGGA
rnacentral:ncRNA from 1 species